UUCAAUACAUUCUCGACAGAAAAAUUGACAUUUCAGAGCAUUUUGAGCUAUUUUGAAAGAAAAUAAAGCGAGUUCCCUUGCAACGAGAAUAAUCCGAUACCGCCGGCUAGCCGUGUUCAUUCAACUUACAACUUGCAAAUUUGAGUUGAUUUUUCCGUCACUUUACAUAUUUUAAUGUAUAUGUCACAGCUUUUUUUAAUGCACAUUCCACUGGAAACAACGGGUCUUCUUGAGGAUACAAGCACUUGGACUAGUCCCAACAACCUACACCCGGGAUGAGGAGAAGAGGUUUCAUACUCGACAAGCGAUGGCCUUUCCAUUUCUUUCACGAGCAGAAAUAAUACCGAGUUCCAAUGACUUGGGCAUCAGGGCAGCAGUCCCUUGAUCGAUGAGCUCUUUGAGACCACCUGAAUUGCAAGAUCUGUAUGGCCAGUUUUUGUGUGACAAAUAAAAGAUGAGGAAGGGUUGAAAAUCCCUCCAGCUAAGUUAGGGAUCAUGUAAUUGCCAUGGAAACCAAAUAUAGUAAUGUAUAACAGGUUGUAUAUUCCUGAAAGUGCAAUUGUUGGAUAAAUGUUUAUUUAUAUUGGCACUAAUGUAAUUUUAAGGUUGUCCUUAUUGUUAGCUUUACAUAAACACCACAAGCAGAGGAUAUUGUUCCCAGUUGGAAUUGUGUCAUAUUUAUUAUCAUAAUAGUAUUAUCAUAAUUGUGGUAAUGUAAUCCUAUUUGAAAUUUUGAACCAGUAUUUAUUUUAUGUGGGAUAUAAUAUGUUUUAUAUACACUGUACACUGAAGUUCAAUAUGUGUUACUAUGUAAUAGAUCUGAUCAAGUUUACCUUAAUGUUACUUAAUAAAACCCACUUAACUCCAAAGAAGUAUUUUGAAUAUUUUGUUCUUGCACUAUUUUGUAUCCCUUUUCUCGCUGAAUAUUUACCUUUUAUUGAGAGCUGUGGUGACGGGUUCCAUGACAUUUGCUCUGGCAAAAUAUAUCUUAAUACACAGAGUAGAAUUC